AGGCCGUCUCAUAACCACAGGGUUUCUGUGGACUUUCAGUGGUGUUUGCUGGGGCAUUGGCCCUUAUUAACCUUGGCAGUCAGAGCUGAUAUUCCAAACAUUCAUUAAAAUAUUCCACGUGGGCACAAGCGAUUUCCAAUCAACACUAAGACACGCCCUUGAAGAAGAGUGUUUGAGUGCGGUUCACCAGGCCAGGACAAGUGAACCUUCUUCAGUUAGGAGACACCUGCUGUGCCAGAGCCAAAAUAAAUGCCAAGUGUGUCACCUUCUGCUCCAAGUACCCACAAUGCAAAGUCGAUGUGAGUUCUUUCCUCGAUGUCAUCAUACAUUCCACUAAAUUGCUUUCACGCGUAAAUCUGGCACAGGAAGCUGGAGAUCGAGAUUAGAAUGAGGAAACGCAGACGGCCUUUCUCUGCAACUAGUGCAUUUCAUGUGGUCUUCUGAAAAUUACUUACCCUUUCUCAUCUUGACAUAUCUACUAUUUCGUCACUGCAAUUUUUAAAAAAGGAAAAAAUCUUCUAUGUCUUUCCUCCAUGUGACGUUUAAGGACAGAUGAGAGUCUGUGGAAACCAGAG
rnacentral:lncRNA from 1 species